UAAAAGAAAAACAUAUUUUAAGUAAAGAAAGAACUUGCUGCAUUUGGAAGCCAAAGAGAGGGCAGGCAGAAGAGCCAUCAGGGUGCAGAGCGGGCUGGGGCUCCAGGGCUUUGAAAUCCUUUCCAGCGUUGUCACUUGAAUGUCGAACACGUUAUUCUCAGAGGACACUAAAGAGAAGUACAGGCUGAUUUCCUCACACUGUUGGUGGUGCAUUUGAAAACAUGGGACACAGCCUGUGCAGCAACGCCCUUGGCCAGUGACGACACUCAGCAGCCCUUCCCAAGUCUUACUGAGGAUCCCCUGCCUGUCAAGAACUCCCCUGGGCCCUGAGAAUGCCCCGUGAACAGAAGAGAACAGGCAUCGGACUACCUUUAUGUUAAAGAUCUCUCAUCUAGAGGAGGAAAGACAAGCUUGACUCUCCUUGCAACCAGGAAAUUAGGCUUUCAUCAGACCUGUACCACUGGGGACUGUGAGGGUCAGCAGACAGAAAUGGGGUCUCUGCCUUCAGAGCACUUUUGAUGUCUCUCUGGGUGGGUACCGCCUGGAGGGGAAGAGCAGCGAGAAGGCUCUAUUGUUAAUGAUAGGGCCCCGGUCUGGCCUUUCCUCUCUGAGCCCCCAAAUACACCGCCACGCAGCUCACCUGCCUAGCAGAUGGCAGAAGCUCAGGGUUUCGGUGGAAGCGGACUUCUGGCAGUGGUAGAGUUAGCACCUGCGGAUUCUACUCCCUGCCAUUUCCCGUGCAGCCAUCCUGUGCUGUGGCACUUCCUCUGCUUCGCAGAGAUCUUCUCUGCGUGGGGUCCUUGUCGAGGCGGUCCUAGUGGUACUUUGUGAGUGUUCUCUCCAAGUCUUCGCCACAUCAGCUUAGUAACAUCUGUCAGGUAAGAGAGGCUCAGAACACCCACACCUCUCCCUGAUACCACCCCUAAAUCCCACCCCUUAAGUACAUGCUUUUUUUCCCCUAACUUGUUUUGGCUGUGCUGAGUUUUCGUUGCUGUGUGCGGGCUUUCGCUAGUUGGGGCCGGUGGGGGCUGCUCCUUGCAGUGCGAGGGCUUCUCUGUGAGGUGGCUUCUCUUGUCGCAGAGCACGCACAGCCUCAGUCAUCGUGGCACACAGACC
rnacentral:lncRNA from 1 species